AGGACCGAACCGACUAAUGUUGAAAAAUUAGCGGAUGACUUGUGGCUGGGGGUGAAAGGCCAAUCAAACCGGGAGAUAGCUGGUUCUCCCCGAAAGCUAUUUAGGUAGCGCCUCGUGAAUUCAUCUCCGGGGGUAGAGCACUGUUUCGGCAAGGGGGUCAUCCCGACUUACCAACCCGAUGCAAACUGCGAAUACCGGAGAAUGUUAUCACGGGAGACACACGGCGGGUGCUAACGUCCGUCGUGAAGAGGGAAACAACCCAGACCGCCAGCUAAGGUCCCAAAGUCAUGGUUAAGUGGGAAACGAUGUGGGAAGGCCCAGA
rnacentral:rRNA from 1 species